rnacentral:rRNA from 1 species
AGCAGCCGCGGUAAUUCCAGCUCCAAUAGCGUAUAUUAAAGUUGUUGCAGUUAAAAAGCUCGUAGUUGAAUUUCGGGGUCAGUAGGUCGGUCGUGCCACUGGUAUGCACUGGUCUCACUGAUUCCUCCUUCUUGAAGAACCGUAAUGUCAUUAACUUGGUGUUGCGGGGAAACAGGACUGUUACCUUGAAAAAAUUAGAGUGUUUAAAGCAGGCCAGCGCCUGAAUACAUUAGCAUGGAAUAAUGAAAUAGGACGUUCGAUCCUAUUUUGUUGGUUUCUAGGAUUGACGUAAUGAUUAAUAGGGAUAGUUGGGGGCAUUAGUAUUCAAUUGUCAGAGGUGAAAUUCUUGGAUUUAUUGAAGACUAACUACUGCGAAAGCAUUUGCCAAGGAUGUUUUCAUUAAUCAAGAACGAAAGUUAGGGGAUCGAAGACGAUCAGAUACCGUCGUAGUCUUAACCAUAAACUAUGCCGACUAGGGAUCGGAUGAUGUUAAUUUUAUAAUGACCCAUUC